UAUAUUUAACGGCNGCGGUACUCUAACCGUGCGAAGGUAGCACAAUAACUUGUUCUUUAAAUGGGGACUAGAAUCAAUGGCAUCACGAGGGUUACACGUCUCCUUUUUCUAAUCAGUGAAACUGAUCUCCCCGUGAAGAAGCGGGGAUAAGCCUAUAAGACGAGAAGACCCCAUGGAGCUUCAAACUCAAUGAUAACUCUUUUUAUACACAACCUAAGAAUUUAUAAGAGUCAGUAUCAGUCAGUUUUGGGCUGGGGUGACCGCGGAGUAGAACCUAACCUCCGUAAUGAAUAGAUUAACACCUUAAUCCAAGAGAAACAUCUCUAAGAAUUAAUAAAUUAACAUAAAAUGAUCCGAUAAAUAUUCGAUCAACGAACCAAGUUACCCUGGGGAUAACAGCGCCAUCCACUUCAAGAGCUCCUAUCGACAAGUGGGUUUACGACCUCGAUGUUGGAUCAGGGUAUCCUGGUGGUGCAGCCGCUACUGAGGGUUCGUUUGUUCAACGAUUAAAACCCUACGUGAUCUG
rnacentral:rRNA from 1 species